CUUUGCUUCUGCACCUUGGUUUAAGGCUACCACAAGUCAGUGCAAUGUCUUCCUCAGUUCCCAAAUGGUAUGUUUUUUUUCCCUCAUCUGUAAGUGGGCAAAAUCAGGCCUUUCCCCAUGCAUUCCCCUCCUCUAUUUUUUUCGUACCUUUUAUAUGCAAGAUACCGUUUUAGAUGGCUCAUUUUCUCUGCCCUCAAGAAACUUACAUGAUAAGCAAGUAAAACUUUAAUUAUGCAAGAUGUGUCAUGCAUGAGCAAGAUAGGCAAGGAGUCCUGGUGAGAUUGGAGAAAAGAGCAAUCAAGUGGAUUCAGGAAACCAAGGGGAGGAUGGUGAUGUGAGGGAUUUCAUUUUGUGGUUUGGCAAAGUCAGCGCCCUAGGAAAGUACAAAGGAGUAAGAAAAGAGUGGCAUUUCAGUGAGGAGCACUUCAAAAAUACAAAAUGAUCUGCAAUUGCAAGGUACUGCUAUUUUUGUCCUCUUAUAGGUCAACACCAUCAAUGAAACAACUUCAGAAACCUCCAUUGUUUGGCCAUUUAAAAAUGUCGGAAUUAUCAGAGCCUCUGGGUUUGUAUCCUGAGUCAGCUAAAAGUUACUAUAGAUUUAAAAGCAAGAGCUCUUGUUCUGAUUAAUGCCAUCAGUACAUGGAAGAGGAUCUGUAUUUGUACCAGACAAGCCAUACAAAUUGCUCAUCAUGCUCAAAGUUCCCUUCUAAACAUAUAGGUCCAUGCUUGCUUUGUUUUGUAUGAUCCUGUUACCUUUGAAGCAGCCAGUGGGCAUACAGAUGUUUCUCUGGGAGGGUAUGAUGAGUGGGAAGGCAGCCCUCCAUAGACUUUGAGAUGACUUGAUGUGAGCACUCUAAUGGAAAUACCGUCUACUUGAUGCACCAAUAGACCUGCUCAUGUCCCAGCUCAGAUUCUCUCUUUGUCAUGGGGUUUAAGAGCCCUACAGGGAAAAAAAGAAAAGAAGGUGGUAAAUAGAGACAUAAGAGGGACCUAGAGCAGAGAGAGGUAGGAGAAAGAGCUAGGAGAGGUGAAUACGGAAAAGUCAAUUGAUAGUAAGUAGGUUGAGAGAUGGGAGACAAGCAGAGAAGCCAGGUCAUGAAAAUGGUGGACAGCUUUUGCUGCUGUUGAAUGACUAGAGCUACUACUGCAACCUGAAAAAAACGGAGUGAUACCCUCUAAGGCCCCGACUGUAGCCACCGAGACUGUUCUAGGAUUUCUCACCUCUCCAUGUGUUCUUUCCACAGACUUCCCCACUAACUGAUGUAACACUAACAUGUCUCUGCUCCUUCUUGCAGAAAAAAUGUAGCUCACUUAGUAAUUCACAGAUUAUGUUUUUAUACUAGGUCAUCAUAUGCAGAAAACUUACUUUCAUGGGCUGUAGCCAUACCUGUUCAAGUUGAAGUGUUGCUAAUUACAUAAUAAAAUCCAUUGUCUAAUUUAUUCA
rnacentral:lncRNA from 1 species